GUCCAGACUCCUACGGGAGGCAGCAGUGAGGAAUAUUGGUCAAUGGGCUUACGCCUGAACCAGCCAAGUCGCGUGAGGGAAGACUGCCCUAUGGGUUGUAAACCUCUUUUGUCAGGGAGCAAUUGGCGCUACGUGUAGCGUUAUCGAGAGUACCUGAAGAAAAAGCAUCGGCUAACUCCGUGCCAGCAGCCGCGGUAAUACGGAGGAUGCGAGCGUUAUCCGGAUUUAUUGGGUUUAAAGGGUGCGCAGGGGGCGAGUUAAGUCGGCGGUAAAAUUUGGGGGCUCAACCCCGACAAGCCGUUGAAACUGGCUUGCUAGAGUGGGCGAGAAGUAUGCGGAAUGCGUGGUGUAGCGGUGAAAUGCGUAGAUAUCACGCAGAACUCCGAUUGCGAAGGCAGCAUACCGGCGCCCAACUGACGCUCAGGCACGAAAGCGUGGGUAUCGAACAGGAUUAGAUACCCGAGUAU
rnacentral:rRNA from 1 species